UACGAAGGGGGCUAGCGUUGUUCGGAAUCACUGGGCGUAAAGCGCGCGUAGGCGGUCUAGCAAGUCAGAGGUGAAAUGCCGGGGCUCAACCCCGGAACUGCCUUUGAAACUGCUAGACUGGAGUCUCGGAGGGGGUAGUGGAAUUCCUAGUGUAGAGGUGAAAUUCGUAGAUACUAGGAGGAACACCGGUGGCGAAGGCGGCUACCUGGACGAGUACUGACGCUGAGGUGCGAAAGCGUGGGGAGCAAACAGG
rnacentral:rRNA from 1 species